GACGAACGCUGGCGGCGUGCUUAACACAUGCAAGUCGAGCGGUAAGGCCUUCGGGUACACGAGCGGCGAACGGGUGAGUAACACGUGGGUGAUCUGCCUCGCACUUCGGGAUAAGCCUGGGAAACUGGGUCUAAUACCGGAUAUGACCUUCCAGUGCAUGCUGGUGGGUGGAAAGAUUUAUCGGUGCGAGAUGGGCCCGCGGCCUAUUAGCUUGUUGGUGGGGUAACGGCCCACCAAGGCGGCGACGGGUAGCCGACCUGAGUGGGUGACCGGCCACACUGGGACUGAGACACGGCCCAGACUCCUAGGGGAGGCAGCAGUGGGGAAUAUUGCACAAUGGGCGAAAGCCUGAUGCAGCGACGCCGCGUGAGGGAUGACGGCCUUCGGGUUGUAAACCUCUUUCGACAGGGACGAAGCGUAAGUGACGGUACCUGUAGAAGAAGCACCGGCCAACUACGUGCCAGCCGCCGCGGUAA
rnacentral:rRNA from 1 species